rnacentral:rRNA from 1 species
GAUGAACGCUGGCGGCGUGCCUAAUACAUGCAAGUCGAGCGAACAGACGAGGAGCUUGCUCCUCUGACGUUAGCGGCGGACGGGUGAGUAACACGUGGAUAACCUACCUAUAAGACUGGGAUAACUUCGGGAAACCGGAGCUAAUACCGGAUAAUAUAUUGAACCGCAUGGUUCAAUAGUGAAAGACGGUUUUGCUGUCACUUAUAGAUGGAUCCGCGCCGCAUUAGCUAGUUGGUAAGGUAACGGCUUACCAAGGCAACGAUGCGUAGCCGACCUGAGAGAGUGGUCGGCCACACUGGAACUGAAACACGGUCCAGACUCCUGCGGGAGGCAGCAGUAGGGAAUGUUCCGCAAUGGGCGAAAGCUUGACGGAGCAACGCCGCGUGAGUGAUGAAGGUCUUCGGAUCGUAAAACUCUGUUAUUAGGGAAGAACAAAUGUGUAAGUAAAUAUGCACGUCUUGACGGUACCUAAUCAGAAAGCCACGGCUAACUACGUG